UAGGGAAUCUUCGGCAAUGGGGGCAACCCUGACCGAGCAACGCCGCGUGAGUGAAGAAGGUUUUCGGAUCGUAAAGCUCUGUUGUAAGAGAAGAACGUGUGUGAGAGUGGAAAGUUCACAUAGUGACGGUAACUUACCAGAAAGGGACGGCUAACUACGUGCCAG
rnacentral:rRNA from 1 species